CCUACGGGAGGCAGCAGUGGGGAAUCUUGCGCAAUGGGGGAAACCUUGACGCAGCAACGCCGCGUGGGUGAUGAAGGCCUUCGGGUCGUAAAGCCCUGUCAGGUGGGAAGAAACAUGUCGGUGCUAAUAUCACCGAUGUUUGACGGUACCGCCGGAGGAAGCACCGGCUAACUCCGUGCCAGCAGCCGCGGUAAUACGGAGGGUGCAAGCGUUGUUCGGAAUUACUGGGCGUAAAGCGCGUGUAGGCGGUCGGGCAAGUCAGAUGUGAAAGCCUUCCGCUCAACGGAAGAAGUGCAUUUGAAACUACCCGGCUGGAGUACGGGAGAGGAGAGUGGAAUUCCCGGUGUAGAGGUGAAAUUCGUAGAUAUCGGGAGGAACACCAGUGGCGAAGGCGGCUCUCUGGUCCGAUACUGACGCUGAGACGCGAAAGCGUGGGGAGCAAACAGGAUUAGAUACCCUGGUAGUCCACGCCGUAAACGAUGGGCACUAGGUGUAGGAGGUAUUGACCCCUUCUGUGCCGAAGUUAACGCAUUAAGUUCCCCGCCUGGGGAGUACGGUCGCAAGGCUAAAACUCAGAGGAAUUGACG
rnacentral:rRNA from 1 species